GGAUGCGUGGCGCAGUGGUAGCGCGUGUGAUUCCAGUAACAGGGAUAUCCACAAGGUCAUCCGUUCAAAUCGGGUCGCGUUCA
rnacentral:tRNA from 1 species